rnacentral:rRNA from 1 species
AACGAACGCUGGCGGCAGGCCUAACACAUGCAAGUCGAGCGAGGACUUCGGUCCUAGCGGCGGACGGGUGGGUAACGCGUGGGAACGUGCCCUUUGCUACGGAAUAGCCCCGGGAAACUGGGAGUAAUACCGUAUGUGCCCGAGAGGGGAAAGAUUUAUCAGGCAAAGGAUCGGCCCGCGUUGGAUGAGGUAGUUGGUGGGGUAAUGGCCUACCAAGCCGACGAUCCAUAGCUGGUUUGAGAGGAUGAUCAGCCACACUGGGACUGAGACACGGCCCAGACUCCUACGGGAGGCAGCAGUGGGGAAUCUUAGACAAUGGGGGAAACCCUGAUCUAGCCAUGCCGCGUGAGCGAUGAAGGCCUUAGGGUUGUAAAGCUCUUUCAGUGGGGAAGAUAAUGACGGUACCUGGAGAAAAAGCCCCGGCUAACUUCGUGCCAGCCGCCGCCGUAACAC